AACUCUGCCACGCAGAAGCACCCACGAGGAAUCCCAGCCCGAAAUUAACGCUAACCACCCACCUAUUGCCCCUAAUCUCACCCCUCGAGCGUGGGCGGCCACCGGCGAAGGAUGCCGCGCUCCAGCCCGCGGCGCGGCGGGUCCCCUCCCCUCCCCCUCCCUUUCGGCCACACCGGUCUCCUCCUUAACCACGAAGUGGGCGCACGCGGUGCGGGCUCCGGCGAACGCGGCCGCGCGCGAUCCAGCCGCCCGGCGGCUCCCGCAUCCCUCGCCUCUCCGGUCGCAAGUCGCUUCCCUAACCACAAAUUGGGCGCACUCGGGGUGGGAUCCGGCGAACGUGGCCGCACGCGAUCCAGCGGCCCGGCGGCGCCCGUAUCCCUCGCCUCUCCGGUCGCACAUCUCCUUCCUUCCUACGAAGUUGGUGCACGCAGGGCGGACUCUCCGUCAACCACCUCCAGGAGCUCUGCUUCCGGAAAGGCGGCAUCUACAUCAAGCUCGGCAAGCACAUCGCAAACUGGUGUAUGUGCCGACGAUGAGGGCGCCGAUGCAAAAGAGGUGCCCAGUUUCCUCAUACGAGGACGUCUACGAAGUCUUCAAUAAAGAGAUUGGAGAAAAUUGCCACAAACUGUUCAACAUGACCACUUGGUGGAUACUUCUGUAAUAGAUAUCGCCACCGUGGAUUUAGUAGUGAAUGCUCUUCAUUAUAUUUUCCCUACAUUUGACUACAGGGAAUCCGGUCCAAACUCCACAUUGCUGUCACAGAACAAAGUUGGAGGCACAAUUGAAAGAGACCAGCUAGAUUCUUCUUCCGGGAAUUAAACAGAAAACCUGGCUAGAGAUUUCAUGGCAUGUCAUUCCAUUUAUCUUUGCUUGUGGGCUCAUCGUAUCCGAUGACAUAAUUGGCAUUUAUUUCAUAAUUAGCAUGUACUUGAGCACAUGAUGUGUUUUGCUUUAAUUAUGGACAACAAGGUAUGUUUACUUAUUGUGAUCAUAUAAGUGAACCAACAUAUCCAAGGGCUAAAGUUCAUAUCUACUAUGUAUGUUUAUUUUUCA